GAAAAUAGUCUUGUACAGUCUUUGAUUUGAAAACUUUCCUUUUCUUACAAACCACCGUUCUUCUAUGCUAAUCUAGAUUCUUUUUUUCUCUUCAAGUUUGUUUUCCCAGUUCCAAAAUAGCUUUGUAACUCGAUUCUUCUCUCUCCCCCCUUGAAGUGGGAACAAAACUUGAAUAGAAGACUGGCAGGCUAGCCAAUGUAAAAAAUAUAGAUGAAUGGAUGUUAAUGUGGACUCUUUCUUAAUUUCUUCUUGUCUUCAGUUGAUUGAUAUAUAUACGUCUUUUGUAUAUAUAUUCUUGGGCCAAAUGCUCGCCACAAUAAUAUAUGUCUAUAUUAUUGAAAAGUAGUAAUACGCAAUCUGACUUACGGUUUCUUCAGGUUUAUUCUUCGUUACGGAUACAUAAAACAUAAUAUAGGAUGUUACAGGAUAAUGGACAUUCAACAGCAGAUGGUAAUUGCUGGACUUCUGAUGGGAGAGUUACAUCGUUGUACAGAGCCAAGCCAAGAGUGACUAGACUGCGCCUGAGAGACCUCGUGUCCCUCUGUUACUAUAUAGAAGUGCUAAUACUAACGUCAGCAUAUAACUCUAGCCAUAUAAGGACAAAACCCCCCACAUCCACAUUCCAGAGCUCUCGGACAAAGAAAGCCUUGUGACUUAUUGAUACCAUCUGUUAC